rnacentral:rRNA from 1 species
UACGUAGGUGGCAAGCGUUGUCCGGAUUUACUGGGCGUAAAGGAUGCGUAGGUGGAUAUUUAAGUCAGAUGUGAAAUACCCGAGCUUAACUUGGGUGCUGCAUUUGAAACUGGAUAUCUAGAGUGCAGGAGAGGUAAGUGGAAUUCCUAGUGUAGCGGUGAAAUUCGUAGAUAUUGGGAAGAACACCGGUGGCGAAGGCGACUUACUGGACACAUAUUGACGCUGAGGUGCGAAAGCGUGGGGAGCAAACAGG